GAAGUUACAGUCCUGAAGAGAGAUCAUGGGAGGAUGCUCUGGAUGUCGAUGCUGCUCGAUUGGUCUGCUCAUUCCAUGCUCGAUUCCCUGAUCGACCUGGUCCUUCCCCCCCACCCCGGUGGGCGGUUCUGGGAGAGGAGGCAUGUGAUUGACCGCCUGGCACCACGACCGGAUACCUCCGUCAAUCGAUGCUCCUAGUGCUUUCCGAGGGCUCCAAGCACUCCACCAGACACCAUAAGCACUGCAGACCCCACUUCCAGCAAUGCAGCUGUCCUCCACCCACCCUGGACCCAAGACCACGAUCCAGCUCCCAGUGGGCAGACCUCUCCUACUCCAUAGAGCGUAGCAGGAACAAGUCCCUAGUGAUUAUACUCAGGGGAGUAUUGUGAUUAUAGCAAUCCCCAAGAGUGUAGUUAUCCAAUCCCCCAAACAUGAGCCAAGACUUCAUGAAGGGGUAAACCAGGUCUUUUUAAUGCAAAUCAGCACUUACAAUUUAUACACACAUUUUAAACCCCCAACAGCCUCAUUUACUUACAAUUGGUAACAUAGAGCACUAUAGUACAAGGAAGGGUGGCGUCAGACAAUAGCAAAGGCUGAUAGGAGAUUGGGAAGGGACAAAGCAGCCGGUUUAAACUGGUCUGGCAGUGUCCCUGGGACAACGCCCUGCUGGGGAAACAAUAGGACAGGAAAAAGGGGGGAGGGGAAGAGGUACAAGCAAUACAUUCAACAUACUCCUCCUGUGUGUCUCAGAGAUAAUUAUCUCCAGGCACAGAAAAACACACAAUUUACAAACACCCCAAAAGUACACCCAAGAUCCAUUGAAACCCCACAAGAGUCACAUCCUCGGAUAGCCCUGAUCUGGGUGACCGACAUAUCCAAAAAUCACCCAGAUCGGUUCAGUGGUUUGGUUUUUCCAUGUAAGUCCCCUUUUAACAUGUCUUUUUGCAGGGCCCAUAAUCCUGGGGCAAGAGGCUGGUAAGCAGGCCCCUCCAAGUACCGGUGGCGAGGUUACUUUCGCCACAAGGUACUUAUUCCUUUGCACCUACGUGCUGCAGAAUCCAAGGCCAGCCCCUCUCACAGUAUGUUCCCACACCAGACGCUGGAAUCAUGCCCCUUUUUCUGAUGCAGCAUGACGUCAUGACGUCAAUGAAGCGGGCCAAUACCAAUAUCAAUACUAAUACUGGCCCAGAAUGUUUUGGGGGUGUGGUCUUAAAGCAAAAAAAUGCUCCCUUAUAAAAAGGGCGCCUUUUGCUUUGUUCCUUGCCCUAUUGUGGCUCCUUGUGUUCCCC